UUAGGUAAAUCCGGCUCUUUUUAAGGCUGAGACACGACGUCGAGCUACUACGGUAGUGAAGUCAUUGAUGCCAUGCUUCCAGGAAAAGCCUCUAAGCUUCAGAUUGUAAGGAAUCGUACCCCAAACCGACACAGGUGGUCGGGUAGAGAAUACCAAGGCGCUUGAGAGAACUCGGGUGAAGGAACUAGGCAAAAUGGUACCGUAACUUCGGGAGAAGGUACGCUCUUGAUGGUGAAGUCCCUCGCGGAUGGAGCUGACGAGAGUCGCAGAUACCAGGUGGCUGCAACUGUUUAUUAAAAACAC
rnacentral:rRNA from 1 species